CGGCCCCGUAGUCACGUGAUGCGCGCUGUGCACGCGCCUGACCGCGCGGAGUUCGCUCUGGGGUGCUUCAGCAGUGUGCCAGUGAAUCCUCGGGACAAGGCGCCAAAGUGUCCACCCACCCCACUUGGAAGGGCUGGGCAAAGGUUGCACGUGGCUCGUCAAGCCGGCCUUGCCUCGGAAACUCCACCAGUGAUGCGGCUGCCCACGGUGGCCUGCUCUGGGUGCUUAGGGUGUGUGAGUUGCCUCACCCCCCCACCUCCACCCCCCGGCUUGUCGAAAACCGCGCCCUAUCAUUGGAGCCGAGGGAAAGAGGGGUGUCCAUUUGGGGACCCAGUGUGACCCGCGACUGGCGGUAGCUGCGGGGAGGGCACGCUCUAGCUCCUGCGUUUACCAAGGGCCAGGGACUUUAAUGGGUACAGUUCCACCCACUUUGCAAAUUAGGAAAUUGAGGCUUCCCGGCAGGUUAAACCAAGUGGUCCUGCGCGACGAGAAAGAAGUUGAGAUUUGGAGGCAAGCCUUAUUCAGAGGCCGGUCUUUUCUCAUGCAUAGCAGGACAAUGAAGAAAGAGCAGCCCUCCCCACCGUUCCAGACCAUGGAGGCCUGCUAAAGGAUGCUGCCCUCUGUGUGGUGAUGUACCCAAAUUUACCGUCAGCAAAGACCGAGCAGAUGGGGCUAUCUAGUCGUGGACUUCAACACUCCCAAACUGUAAGCUGUAUAAGCCUCUCUUCUGUAUAGACAGAUUCCAGCCUCAGAAAACAGAUAAUGGGUGCAUGGAGGAGACAGAAUGGAUGUGGUAUGAGACUGGAGGAGAGGUCACAUGAAGGAACCCCUUCCGGGGAGAAUCAAGUGGAUCAUGACUUCACAGGAAGUCCCAUUCUCCCAGGACAUAGGCACUAAAGCAGAGAAGUGCGGGUGUUGUCCAGGACUGGCUCUGCCAGCUAUCUUGGAGCUACAGUGGCAGCAGAGCCUCUGUACCCUUCAGGGUCAUUGACUUCUCUCCACUCUGCAGACCUGAGAUGUCUGCAGACAGAAAUGUGGAUAGUCUUCCCUGAUUGCCUUGGGCUGCAGAACCCCAAGGGACAAGGGUUUCUCUGUGUAGCCCUGGUGUCCUGGAACUCACGACCUGGCUGGCCUUGAACUCACAGAGAUCUGCCCGCCUCUGCCUCCUGAACACUGGGAUUAAAGAUGUGCACCAGCACAUCCAGCAUUUUUAUUAAAUUUUAAUUAUUUAAGUGUGUAAAGAUUAUCCUCAGUUGCACAAGACCCUGUCUCAAAAGUCAGAAAAAAAUGGUUUGUGGUGGGGAGCUGGUGACAUUGUUCAGCAAGUAAUGUGCUUGUCACCUAAGACUGUCAACCUGCCUUUGGGCUCUGGAAACCACAUGGGAGGAGAGAGAUUGCCCUCUGACUUCCACAUGUGUGCCAUGGAGCAUGCACAAGCCCCCAUCAUAUACACACAAUGAUAUUGGCACCAAGGACUCUGAUGUCACUCAUCCCCUGGGCACACUGACAGUGGCUGUGGUACACAGCAGGAAACUGCUUCAUAAUAGUCCCAGUGGCCCCUCUGCUGACUCUGGAUCACCCUGAACCAAGCCUUUCCACGUUCCAGGCUGACUUCUCUUCCAGGAUGGAAUUCCUGACCUUGCUGGCCAGGGCUAGGGCAGUGGGGGGGGGGGGCAGAUGAGAAAGGGCAUUGGAUAAUCCAGAGAGGUCUGCACCCUCUCCCAGAGAACCACUCCCCUUACCUGGUGAGGAGUCACUUGUCCCCAUCCCCCAUCAGGAAAGACUUGAAAAACCAGAAAAUGAGAGUGCCAAGAUGAACCAUCACAUUGUGUUAAUAUUUUCACACCACUUAACUCUCAUUAAAAUGUACUUUGCUGAAUUUAAUAUGUGAUUUCAAAUGACACAACAUAUUAAGUGCUUAAUAUACUAGAAAUUAUGAAACUAUUAUAGUCGAUGCCAUAUGAAAUAAUUAGAGUGAAUUAAACUUUAGCAGCCGAGUGAAGGCAAGGCUUCAACUUAUAAUAUCUGCAAGUCGCUCAAGCCACCGCUGUAAUCCCCCAAAUAAAUGUCCAGAAAUUAGGCUCUUUAAAUAAAAACUGAAUUUCAUGUGUAUUUACACCACAA
ensembl:lncRNA